CCGAAAAUGGCCACCCCAUGGAGGAUCUUCGCUGGACGGCUUCAGAGGAAACACACACAGACCGAGCCAGAGUUACCUGGCCAGGAGUUCCUUUGUCUGAUCCGUCAGAAUGGCGCUGUCCGCUUUCACCAUGCAAACCAAGGCCGAGGAUUUGGCUUGCGGUGAGAGGAAGGGCGCCAGGCAGGCUUACUUUUGGGUGUUCUUCGGGGACGUGCUGCUUUGAAAACUUGGCCAGCUG